AACGAACGCUGGCGGCGUGCCUAACACAUGCAAGUCGAACGGAGGCAAGGGGCUUGCUCCUUGCUUUAGUGGCGCACGGGUGAGUAACGCGUGGAUAAUCUGCCCGAUGCUCUGGGAUAACAUCUCGAAAGGGGUGCUAAUACCGGAUAAGCCCACGGGGUCUUAGGAUCUUGCGGGAAAAGGGGGGGACCUUCGGGCCUCCCGACAUCGGAUGAGUCCGCGUCCCAUUAGCUAGUUGGUGGGGUAAAGGCCUACCAAGGCGACGAUGGGUAGCUGGUCUGGGAGGAUGAUCAGCCACACUGGAACUGAGACACGGUCCAGCCUCCUACGGGAGGCAGCAGUGGGGAAUUUUGCGCAAUGGGCGAAAGCCUGACGCAGCAACGCCGCGUGAGUGAUGAAGGCUUUCGGGUCGUAAAGCUCUGUCGAGGGGAAAGAAGUGUAUUGUGGUUAAUACCCGCGAUACUUGACGGUACCCCUAAAGGAAGCACCGGCUAACUCCGUGCCAGCCGCCGCGGUAACAC
rnacentral:rRNA from 1 species